rnacentral:tRNA from 1 species
GAAUUAUCCUUUAUUAAGCCGCUAACUUAAUCAAUAACACAUAAAAAUGUUAAUAAUUCU